rnacentral:rRNA from 1 species
AGUGGCGGACGGGUGAGUAACGCGUGAGAAUCUGCCCUUUGGAUGGGGAUAACGACUGGGAACGGUCGCUAAUACCCAAUAUGCCGAGAGGUGAAACUUAUAUGGCCAGAGGAUGAGCUCGCGUCUGGUUAGCUAGUUGGAGUGUAAUGGACUACCAAGGCGACGAUCAGUAGCUGGUCUGAGAGGAUGAUCAGCCACACUGGGACUGAGACACGGCCCAGACUCCUACGGGAGGCAGCAGUGGGGAAUUUUCCGCAAUGGGCGAAAGCCUGACGGAGCAACGCCGCGUGAGGGAAGACGGCUCGUGGGUUGUAAACCUCUUUUCUCUAGGAAGAAGAACUGACGGUACUAGAGGAAUCAGCAUCGGCUAACUCCGUGCCAGCAGCCGCGGUAAUACGGAGGAUGCAAGCGUUAUCCGGAAUUAUUGGGCGUAAAGCGUCCGUAGGCGGUUUUACAAGUCUGCUGUUAAAGCGUGCAGCUCAACUGCAUAUAGGCAGUGGAAACUGUAAGACUAGAGUGUAGUAGGGGUAGAGGGAAUUCCCAGUGUAGCGGUGAAAUGCGUAGAUAUUGGGAAGAACACCGGUGGCGAAAGCGCUCUACUGGGCUACAACUGACGCUGAUGGACGAAAGCUAGGGGAGCGAAAGGGAUUAGAUACCCCUGUAGUCCUAGCCGUAAACGAUGGACACUAGGUGUUG